AGCUUUAUUGGUGCAAAAACAACAACGUUUUGACCCUACAGGGUCUUUAUCAAGCUUGAUAAAGAACCAGUAGAGUCAAAACAUUGUAAUUUUUGCACCAAUAAAGCU